rnacentral:rRNA from 1 species
UAUCUCUGUAGAGUCUGCAUAUCAAUAAGCGGAGGAAAAGAAACUAACAAGGAUUCCCCUAGUAACGGCGAGUGAAGCGGGAAGAGCUCAAAUUUGAAAUCUUCAAGGUUUGACCUUGACGAAUUGUAGUUUAAAGAAGUGUUUUCGGUUAGAGGAGUAGUAAAAGUUCUUUGGAAUAGGACAUCAUAGAGAGGUGAGAAUCCCGUAUUUGACUAUUCUUUCUAGCUUUGUGAUACACUUUCAAAGAGUCGGAUUGUUUGGGAAUGCAGUCCAAAAUGGGUGGUAAAUUUCAUCUAAAGCUAAAUAUUGGCGAGAGACCGAUAGCGAACAAGUACCGUGAGGGAAAGAUGAAAAGAACUUUGAAAAGAGAGUUAAACAGUACGUGAAAUUGUCAAAAGGGAAGCGUUUGACACCAGUGUUGUUUUUCCGAAAAUCAAUUAAAAAUUGAUUCAUGCCAGGUUGUAUUGACCUUAUCAGCUUGCAAUUUGGUUUUGGGUCUCUUUUUGAUGCACUUUUCGGUUAACAAGUCAACAUCAAUUUCCUUUGCUGUAAAAAGGUAAGAGGAAGGUGGCUUCAAUUUCGGUUGAAGUGUUUAUAGCCUUUUAUCUCUGCAGUCGGGGAGAUUGAGGUCUGCAGCGUAGAUCCUUCGGGGCUAGAUACAUUUAUGCUAAGUUAUAGCUUUUCAUAGACAACUUGUUGACUAUGUUUAGUCAUGUAGCUUACUCGUAAGUGCUAUUUUACCUACGCUUAGGAUGUUGAGCGCAUGUCUCUCUCU